rnacentral:lncRNA from 1 species
AAGGAACACGUGGAUGCAAUGCACACACAGAGGGUUAAAUGGUUCAUGUUCUGUUUUUUCCAGCCUGCCCUGAGGCCCAAGGGUCCCCCACCUCCCGUUCCUGCCCCCAAACCUGGCUCUUCCCACCCCGAGGAGAAGUUUGCCCCAGAGAGAACAGCUCCUCCUGUGCCCCUUCCCAAAGGCAAACCCCCUCCUCCACCCCAGGCUUUAAAGCCCCCCAUGAACCCCAGAGUCUGAGGCUUCCCAAGCAGAGCUGGCUGGGCCACCUGAACUUUGCAGGGACAGUUCAUCCCUCGAUUCCUCCACUUCUGGCAAAGGUGUCCUGGACCAUCUCCCUCUCCUCCUCGAGAACUGACUGAGAGCUGCCUGGGGAGAUUCGGGAUUUCAGGCAGUGAGGAGCCCCGGUGGUGACAUGGAGCUGCUGUCCAAGGGAAGCAGAGCAGAGCCACCACUUGCACCGAGGUGUAAACUGGGAGUAAGUUACAACAGCUGCUGAACACCCCCAGCACUGUGGGAUGAGGCUGCUCCUCCUCUGCUCCUCUGGGGCCAGAGCUGAGGGAGCAGGGACAGUGUGGCUGCUCCAGGUUUGGGAAUUGCAAACUGGUUUUUUUGCUCCAUUUCUGGAUCUUUUCCAGCCCUCUCUGCUCUCAGCAAUACAAAGAUUUCUCCCUCAAGUGCAAGUCAUGGAGAAAAACAAACUCUCCCUGCCCUGAGGAGAGAAGUUGUGUCCCCAGGGUCUGAGCUGGACAUGGAAUAAGCAAUGAGACACACUGGGAAUGGUUCUGGCAAGAUCCUUUGCACUGGAUUCUCUCCACAGUCCUUAAAUUCCCUGCAAAACAUGGAUGUGAUGGAAUUUCAGUUCUUCCUUUGAGGUUGUGUUGGAUGAGGAUGGAUGUUACUGGAAGAGCAGAGCUUCCUUCCUCUUUGGAUAAUUGCUGCUUUAUUUGAGCCAGGAACAGAUUGGAAUCUCCACCUGGGUUUGACUGGGGUGUAAAAAUCCAGAAGUUAUUUUUUAUGAGCUGUAAUUAAUGUAUUUACAGAGAUUUCUGUAUUAAAGUUCUGUCUGAACAGG